AUAUUCCUACCCAUUAUUUCAGUUUUAAACCAAUUAACUUGCUAUAAAGAAAGCUAUAUGUUGCCUUUAGGACUCAUAACUAAUAAUGGAAAUAUGAACAUCAAGUGCAAAGAGCUUUGCGUGCUAGUAAUGAUUUAAGUACAGGUUGACACCUAUUAUUGACCUUUAAUAUGAUUCCUUUGCAGUUUUAUGUUUACCCAAAGACUGGAGUGCGACUGCUAUCAAAACAAGAUGUUCUUCUGUAUAUCAAUGAGGCAACGGUCUCAAAGUGUGAUACAAAUGGACAAUGUAACACCAGUUCUGAAGCUAAUGUGUGCCUCUUGCUUGAACUUCUUACUCGAAGAACACAUCACAUCCUUGAAUGAUUGAUUUUCUUUCCUAUGUACUCUUUUGGCACAUUUGCAGCUACUUGCAAUAGUGGACUUUCACCCAAGUGGAUUGCCAGAAGGAUGGGUAAAAGAGCUAGUAUUUAGAAAGACAAAGGAAGGACUCAUCAGGAGAGAUCCGUAUUACACGGAUCCUGCUAGCUCCUACACAUUCCGUACGCUGAAAUCUGCACUAUGCUUCGUAGAAACCGGAAAAAUUUCCAAGCGUGCUUUUAUUCAAAGGAUAAGUGUUCAUGACCUGUACUCUUUUGACAAGUCUGCAGAUUUGGUAAUUGUUCUCUUGAUGUUUUGUUAUCUGGAUAAAUGUUCACUAUUCCCUAGUUACUUGCAUUCUUCACAUCAUCAUGGAAAAACACUAAACAUAGUGAGAAUUUAUUUUUUGCCACCUGAUUUAGAACUACUUAUUUGCUUUAUUUUCUAGCUUCAAAUAGGAAUCAUAUUUGUUUCAUAAGUUUUUCCAAUGUAUUAUGGAUGGAUUAAAACUGAAUUGGAAUCAAUUUUAUUAACUAGAUAUCAUUAAUUUUAUGGUCAUGUUGCGUGGCAAUUCCUUGCUAGAUUGCUAUAUACUCUCUCUAGUCAUGAACACUUUCUGUUUCAAAUAAGGUUUCAUCUAACAAUUCCAAGCUUUGAAUAAAAAUCUUAUACAAUAUUUAGUUUUGAAAAUAUUCUACUAUAUCAUAAUCUUUUAGUUUUAUUAGAAUAUUACAGUAGAAAUUAGAGUGGUCAAAGCUAUACAUUGGAGACAGGUCUUGGUCCUCAACAUCAAGUAUUUGAGUCUGGACUUGAGGGAGUAGCAGCUUUAUGACAUUCCAGAGGUCCCUCAAAAUAAUUGAUUAAUUUUUUUUUUGGCAGCACGAAAGUUUGCGUAGUAGACUGAUAAUAAAUGAGACACCUUAUGCGAAGGCCACAAGAUCAUCCCGACCUAGAGGGACACCACAAAUAGAGUAUGAUCAAAUUAUAAACAACCGUAAGUUCCUGCACUUGUCGUUAUUCUCAUAAUUUUAUACAUGUGUGCACUCCUCUUGGUUUUAUACUACUUUCUUUUUGUUCUACAAAUUUGCAAACAUGCAUAGGCUUAGCUAUGUAUGUAUAAUUCUAUACCAACGUACUCCAAAAAUGAAAUAUAAUAAUAGCUGCUUGACAUCGAAUAGAGUAUGCUAUUGUUACAUGAUUUCCUUUUGGUUCUAUGAAUUUUCCACCAGUCUUCGGAACUAUAAAUUCUUUUACAUAUUAUUGAUAUACAUAGCAAUAAAUAACACACUAAGUGAAUUAGACUAUGCAUGCAUAUAUAUUUACUGUAACUCUUAGGAUUGUUUCUUUAUUAAGGUAGCUAAUUUCCAUCAAUAGGGGUUAAGGGAUUCCCACUUUUCACUCAUCUACUAAGUGGCCUAGAAGUCAAAUAAUGUUUAAGAAUUGAUGCAUACAUAUGUACUCUAUUCAAUCAUCAUGGUGUCAUUUUUAAGCCACUUACCUUGUGUUAGUAUAUAGCUUUAUGGUUUAAGUGGACCAAUUUUCACAUUUUAGGCUUCGUUGUUCCAUGUUUUUUUUUCUUUAAUGAUUAGCUAUGACCUCAAAGUACAUAUUAUAGAUUAGAUGCAUCCAACACAAGCUUGACUAACCUGAGAAAGGGUAUGGAGCAACAAUCCAUUUACGUAUAUGUAAAUAGCUAGGCAACAUGCACAUGAGAUCAUUUAAUAUAUUAUGCAACUAACAAAUAGAGAUAUAAUGUUAAUCAACAGCAUGCAUGUUUCCAUCCAAACAAAUAGAGAUCAAUGCAUCAUGUGUUGUAUUUUCCGCUUACUUGCUCUGACAACUAAUUUGUUUGUGCUUUAUGCUAGCACAAGAUGGUGACACCUCUGGCUCAGAUUCGCCAUAUGAGCCGGAAGAAGAAAACAUCAGAAGCAGGAAGGCUAAAGGCAAAGAAGCAACCAACUCAAGGACUAUCAACCGUUCAACAGGAAGGCCCCCACAAUUGAGGAUUAAAGAGGAGCCAACAGAUGAUCAGGAUGUGGACUAAAGAAACAAAUUGCAGAAGAUAUCAAAAUAAAAUUUUACCAACACUUAUGGUGUUGUUUUGUUCUAUUUCUUAGUGUGCUGUUACUACCAGCAAAAAUAAUUAUCUGUAAUAGUUAAACUAGUAUUAAGUCAUUGCUGCUUCACAUUUGAUGGUUGAUGUUUCAAUUUAAACUAGUAUUAAGCCAUGUCUGUUGCUACAUAUUGAUGGUUAAUAUGCUUCUAUUGAACUC